UACAGAGGUCCCGAGCGUUGUUCGGAUUCAUUGGGCGUAAAGGGCGCGUAGGCGGUCAGCACAAGUCAGUUGUGAAAUCUCCGGGCUUAACUCGGAAAGGUCAACUGAUACUGUGCGACUAGAGUGCGGAAGGGGCAACUGGAAUUCUCGGUGUAGCGGUGAAAUGCGUAGAUAUCGAGAGGAACACCUGCGGCGAAGGCGGGUUGCUGGGCCGACACUGACGCUGAUGCGCGAAAGCCAGGGGAGCGAACGGG
rnacentral:rRNA from 1 species